GACGAACGCUGGCGGCGUGCUUAACACAUGCAAGUCGAACGCUGAAGCUUGGUGCUUGCACUGGGUGGAUGAGUGGCGAACGGGUGAGUAAUACGUGAGUACCCUGCCCUUGACUCUGGGAUCAGCCUGGGAAACUGGCUCCAAUACUGGAUACGACAUGUCACCGCAUGGUGGUGUGUGGAAAGGGUUUUACUGGUUUUGGAUGGGCUCACGGCCUAUCAGCUUGUUGGUGGGGUAAUGGCUCACCAAGGCGACGACGGGUAGCCGGCCUGAGAGGGGGACCGGCCACAAUGGGACUGAGAAACGGCCCAAGAUCCUAAGGGAGGGAGCAGUGGGGAAUAAUGCACAAAGGGCGGAAGACUGAUGCAACGACGCCGCGUGGGGGAUGACGGCCUUCGGGUUGUAAACCUCUUUCAGCAUGGAAGGAGCGAAAGUGACGGUACGUGGAGAAGAAACGCCGGCUAACUACGUG
rnacentral:rRNA from 1 species